rnacentral:rRNA from 1 species
GACGAACGCUGGCGGCGUGCUUAACACAUGCAAGUCGAGCGGUAAGGCUCCUUCGGGAGUACACGAGCGGCGAACGGGUGAGUAACACGUGAGCAAUCUGCCCUUCACACGGGGAUAACUCCGGGAAACCGAAGCUAAUACCCGAUACGACCACUUCAGGCAUCUGAUGGUGGUGGAAAGUUCCGGCGGUGAAGGAUGAGCUCGCGGCCUAUCAGCUUGUUGGUGGGGUCACGGCCCACCAAGGCAACGACGGGUAGCCGGCCUGAGAGGGUGACCGGCCACACUGGGCAUGAGACACGGGCCAGACUCCUACGGGAGGCAGCAGUGUGGAAUAUUGGACAAUGGGCGAAAGCCUGAUUCAGCAACGCCGCGUGAGGGAUGACGGCCUUCGGGUUGUAAACCUCUUUCAGCAGGGACGAAGCGCAAGUGACGGUACCUGCAGAAGAAGCACCGGCCAACUACGUGCCAGCCGCCGCGGUAAGAC